GUGUUAUAUAAAGGGAGAGGUUAGAACUUCCCUUGACCAGGAUGGAAGAGGCCCUGAGGCCUGACAACAUGCAUAUAGUUAAGGCAUUGCAACCUACUUCAUGGCAUCAAACAACCAUUUUAU